AGUUUCAAAGCGCUGAUACUUCAAGAAGGAGACUUUUGCAUAAUGUCUUCACUUUUUUGGUUCGAUUUUUGCACACAACGAUGAAGAUUACAAUCACGACAAAAAUGGUGGCUUUCCGGUGUUUGAUAGCACGGCCGAGUACGACACAAAUGAUCAAUUGUACGCUGUUGUCGAUCAAAUAAAAAGGCGCCAUGGGUCAACCGUUUCACGGAUCCAAUUAUGGAAGUCGAAAGUGGAACCGACAAUGAUUCUGCGUGAUCAUCUGCAACCGCUGUCCAACAUUUUCGGCGGCGAGGAGCAAGGCAGUGAGUCUUCCGCGUACCACUGCAUUUACUACGAUUUCAGCCCUCGAGAAAGCAAUUGCACCAUUCUCAAUGUAAAUUAGCACUGGCCUCUGUGAAUUGUAUUUUUUCCACUCAUCUUACUAUUUGUCGAUAUCUACUGAUCGAUGGGGAUGCGUUGCUUCUGUGCAACUUGUCUCUCGUGGUGCAUGUAGUUAUUGCCUUUCCCUUGCUUAGCGUACAUGACCCUUCUCGUAAGGUAAACUAAGACGAGGGCUCGAAAGAAAAAGGCUGGCGCUCUCAAUCCACAGGGCCUUUGUGGAAACGAUAUUUUGUCCAUUAGUGCCUCCCGCCUUUAUCGCUGGAUGUGCAGAAAUGGUAACCGCUGUUUAGCCUUGCAACUUGCCAAAAUUACUCUGCUUUUUCUCUCUUUGUUAUGACCCUUAGCAUGACUCCACCUGUCUCUCUUUACCCUCGUAUUCGCUUGGUCCUGCAAAAAAG
rnacentral:misc_RNA from 1 species